UACGUAGGGUCCGAGCGUUGUCCGGAAUUACUGGGCGUAAAGAGCUCGUAGGUGGUUUGUCGCGUUGUUCGUGAAAACUCACAGCUCAACUGUGGGCGUGCGGGCGAUACGGGCAGACUGGAGUACUGCAGGGGAGACUGGAAUUCCUGGUGUAGCGGUGGAAUGCGCAGAUAUCAGGAGGAACACCGGUGGCGAAGGCGGGUCUCUGGGCCUUACCUGACGCUGAGGAGCGAAAGCGUGGGUAGCGAACAGG
rnacentral:rRNA from 1 species